CAUGGGCAUAUGUCACCACUUUUGAGCGGCAGUUCUGCUCUGCUCAGGCCCAAAGGGCAUCACAGGACACUCCGGGGCAGCCCGGGUCAUCUUCCCAGCACACACACUGCUCAAGGUCAGCUGCACGCUCACUGCCACCGCUGAUGGGAAUCCUUUUUUGAACCACCUGCCUCGGCAGCCCUGACACCAGCCACAAAGCACAGAAACGGCGGCUCUGCAAGAACUAACUUGACUGAGGAGAGCGAUGCUCACAAGCAGGGGCUGAGUCUCUGCGGGAGGAGACGUUUUGGAAGAGAACACCGAGCCCUUCAUCUCAUACGGCACCCAGUAACGAGAGUUCAACUAGGUGACCCUUAAGGGUCCUUUCCAACUCGAUUCUAUGAAACAAAAAGAUUUCUCCACAUUUUGUACAGAAUAUAGGUCUGUCAUUAAACUCCUUGAAAACUAUGGCCAGAAAGAGGCAAAGAAAGAAGUCUAUUAGAGUCCACACCAUUCUCCAGUGCUGUGGGUUCCGUCAGACAUCGAGGUGAGGAGCUUCUUGCCAUCUGAUUGCUCACUAGAAACACCUGAGGUUGACCUAGCAGCCUCAAGAUACUUAGAAGUACAUUCCUCACAGAACAUUACUGCAGUCAUAAAACCUGUUCAUAUUUUUAAAAGCAACAAAGAAGGUUGGGGAAGCAGAGGGAUGAGGAGCCAGGCAUGAAAGGACUGUUAAAGAGUGGUGAGCUCCUCUGUUUGUUCUGAACUGGGAUAUGAAGCAUCUCACUGCCUUGGAAACCAAAAUGCCCAAGUAAAAGGACUUUGGCUCAGUCACUCAGCAUGCAGGAACUCAACUGGAAAACUUGCUGACGCAAAGCAAUAGAUGGCACCAGUUUAUAUGGAGUCUUCCUUCUAGGAAGAGAAUCUAAGAAUUCAGCCCACCUGAUUUUGCAUUUAAGACAUGGACGUGAAGUACACCAAAGGCAAGUAGAUGAACACUUG